rnacentral:rRNA from 1 species
GAACGCUAGCGGCAGGCUUAAUACAUGCAAGUCGUGGGGCAGCAUGAGUAGCAAUACUUGAUGGCGACCGGCAAACGGGUGCGGAACACGUACACAACCUUCCGUCAAGCGGGGAAUAGCCCAGAGAAAUUUGGAUUAAUACCCCAUAAUAUAUUUGAUAAGGCAUCUUAUUAAUAUUAAAGCUUCGGCACUUGAUGAUGGGUGUGCGGCUGAUUAGAUAGUUGGUGAGGUAACGGCUCACCAAGUCUACGAUCAGUAGCUGAUGUGAGAGCAUGAUCAGCCACACGGGCACUGAGACACGGGC